rnacentral:rRNA from 1 species
UACGUAGGGCGCAAGCGUUGUCCGGAAUUAUUGGGCGUAAAGAGCUCGUAGGCGGCUUGUCACGUCGGAUGUGAAAGCCCGGGGCUUAACUCCGGGUCUGCAUUCGAUACGGGCUGGCUAGAGUGUGGUAGGGGAGAUCGGAAUUCCUGGUGUAGCGGUGAAAUGCGCAGAUAUCAGGAGGAACACCGGUGGCGAAGGCGGAUCUCUGGGCCAUUACUGACACUGAGAAGCGAAAGCAUGGGGAGCGAACAGG